UACGUAUGGUGCAAGCGUUAUCCGGAUUUACUGGGUGUAAAGGGAGCGUAGGCGGCGCGUUAAGUCUGAUGUGAAAACCCGAGGCUCAACCACGGGAGUGCAUUGGAAACUGGCGGGCUGGAGUGCCGGAGAGGUAAGCGGAAUUCCUAGUGUAGCGGUGAAAUGCGUAGAUAUUAGGAGGAACACCAGUGGCGAAGGCGGCUUACUGGACGGCAACUGACGCUGAGGCUCGAAAGCGUGGGGAGCAAACGGG
rnacentral:rRNA from 1 species